UACGAGGGGGCGAGCGUUGUUCGGAAUUAUUGGGCGUAAAGGGUGCGUAGGCGGUUUGGUAAGUCUUAUGUGAAAUCUAUGGGCUCAACUCAUAGUCUGCAUGAGAAACUGCCGGGCUUGAGUAUGGGAGAGGUGAGUGGAAUUCCUGGUGUAGCGGUGAAAUGCGUAGAUAUCAGGAGGAACACCUGUGGCGAAAGCGGCUCACUGGACCACAACUGACGCUGAGGCGCGAAAGCUAGGGGAGCAAACAGG
rnacentral:rRNA from 1 species